rnacentral:rRNA from 1 species
GACGAACGCUGGCGGCGUGCUUAACACAUGCAAGUCGAACGCUGAAGCCCUGGCUUCUGUUGGGUUGGAUGAGUGGCGAACGGGUGAGUAACACGUGAGUAACCUGCCCUCUUCUUUGGGAUAACGCCCGGAAACGGGUGCUAAUACUGGAUAUUCACUGAUCUUCGCAUGGGGGUUGGUGGAAAGGUUUGUUCUGGUGGGGGAUGGGCUCGCGGCCUAUCAGCUUGUUGGUGGGGUGAUGGCCUACCAAGGCUUUGACGGGUAGCCGGCCUGAGAGGGUGACCGGUCACAUUGGGACUGAGAUACGGCCCAGACUCCUACGGGAGGCAGCAGUGGGGAAUAUUGCACAAUGGGCGAAAGCCUGAUGCAGCGACGCCGCGUGAGGGAUGGAGGCCUUCGGGUUGUAAACCUCUUUCGCUCAUGGUCAAGCCGCAACUGUGGGUUGUGGUGAGGGUAGUGGGUAAAGAAGCGCCGGCUAACUACGUG